AAAUUGAAGAGUUUGAUCAUGGCUCAGAUUGAACGCUGGCGGCAGGCCUAACACAUGCAAGUCGAACGGUAACAGGAAGCAGCUUGCUGCUUUGCUGACGAGUGGCGGACGGGUGAGUAAUGUCUGGGAAACUGCCUGAUGGAGGGGGAUAACUACUGGAAACGGUAGCUAAUACCGCAUAACGUCGCAAGACCAAAGAGGGGGACCUUCGGGCCUCUUGCCAUCGGAUGUGCCCAGAUGGGAUUAGCUAGUAGGUGGGGUAACGGCUCACCUAGGCGACGAUCCCUAGCUGGUCUGAGAGGAUGACCAGCCACACUGGAACUGAGACACGGUCCAGACUCCUACGGGAGGCAGCAGUGGGGAAUAUUGCACAAUGGGCGCAAGCCUGAUGCAGCCAUG
rnacentral:rRNA from 1 species